UUCCUGAAGAGGAAACAACUCUUCCCAUCCAAUGCUAGAUUUUUGGGCUAAGAAGAAGAAAUUGCAUCCGGGCUUUUGUGCCGUACUUGCAAUUAAAGUGAAUAAAAAUGGAUAUGUUAUUUAAACAUUAAGAGGGAAGUUGGAAGGUGUUUAAUACUGUUACUGUCAAGGAAACGGGGAAGUAAUAAUUGGAAAUGAUGGAUGGAUACAGAGGAAGCUUUUUGUAUAAAUCAUAGAAUCAUAGAAUUGUCCAGGUUGGAAGGGACCUUUCAGAUCACCGAGUCCAACCAUCAACCUCACUCUGAUAAAAAACAUCACUAAACCAUGUCUCUAAGCUCUGUGUCAACCCAUCUUUUCAAUCCCUCCAGGGAUGGGGCCUCAACCCCUUCCCUGGGCAGCCCAUUCCAAGGCUUCAGAACCCUUUCUGUGUCAACAUUUUUCCUACUCUCCAAUCUGAACCUCCCCUGGAGCAACUUGAGGCCAUUUCCUCUUGUCCCAUCGCCUGGGACUUGGGAGAAGAGACCGACCCCCCCUGGCUACACCCUCCUUUCAGGGAGUUGGAGAGAGCGAGAAGGUCUCCCCUCAGCCUCCUUUUCUCCAGGCUGAACACCCCCAGCUCCCUCAGCCUCUCCUCAGGAGACUUGUUCUCCAGACCCCUCCCCAGCUCCGUUGCCCUUCUCUGGACCCGCUCCAGCCCCUCAAUGUCUUUUUUGUGGGAAGGGGCCCAAAACUGGACCCAGCCCUCGAGGUGGGGCCUCCCCAGUGCCCAGGACAGGGGGACCAUCACCUCCCGAGUCCUCCUCCCCACGCUGUUCCUGACACAGGCCAGGAUGCUGUUGGCCUUCUUGGCCACCUGGGCACACUGCUGGCUCCUGUUCAGCCCACAGGCCACCAACACCCCCAGGUCCUUUUCCUUAGGGCAGCUCCAGCCACUCUGCCCCCAGCCUGGAGCGCUGCAGGGGGUUGGUGGGACCCAAGGGCAGGACCCCUUUAAUUAGAUUGCAUCGUUGAAGAGAUCACUA
rnacentral:lncRNA from 1 species